rnacentral:rRNA from 1 species
CCUACGGGUGGCAGCAGUGGGGAAUAUUGCACAAUGGGGGCAACCCUGAUGCAGCGACGCCGCGUGAGUGAAGAAGUAAUUCGGUACGUAAAGCCCUAUCAGCAGGAAAGAAAAUGACGGUACCUGACUAAGAAGCCCCGGCUAACUACGUGCCAGCAGCCGCGGUAAUACGUAGGGGGCAAGCAUUAUCCGGAUUAACUGGGUGUAAAGGGAGCGUAGACGGGAGUGCAAGUCCGGAGUGAAAGCCCGGGGCUCAACACUGGGACUGCAUUGGAAACUGUAAGGCUGGAGUGCGGUAGGGGCAGGCGGAAUUCCUGGUGUAGCGGUGAAAUGCGUAGAUAUCAGGAAGAACACCGACGGCGAAGGCGGCCUGCUGGACCGUAACUGACGUUGAGGCUCGAAAGCGUGGGGAGCAAACAGGAUUAGAUACCCUGGUAGUC